rnacentral:lncRNA from 1 species
AUUCUCCUGCCUCAGCUUCCGGAGCAGCUGGGACUGCUGGCGCCCGCCACUACGCUCGGCUAAUUUUUUUGUGUUUUUAGUAGAGACGGGCUUUCACCGUGUUGGCCUAGCGGUUCUCCAACUCCUGACCUCAUGAUCCCCCCGCCUCAGCCUCCCAAAGUGCUGGGAUUACAAGCGUGAGCCACCGCGACCCGCCAACACUCUUGACAACAGUGCUGUGCUAAGAACUUGGGGGACUUCAAAAAGUUCACCAGUUCCUGUGUCCAUGGGUGAAAAGAUUUUCUACAUCUUUCCUUGACUAGAAACAGAAGUCCUGAAACAAGAAUAUAACGUCAGGAGGCCAGAGGCUUUGUCCUGCCUAAUGUGUUAUUUCCACACUGAAUAAAAGCACCUGAGUCCUGCAUUUUAAAAAGGUUGUACAUCUAGCAAUACCUAACAAAAUAGGAAAUCAACUUGGAAAGCCAAUGGCUGUGUUUUGAGUUUAUGGAGAGCCAUAUGUGGCAAGGAACUGAGGGUGGCAUCCAGGCAACAGACUUCAAGAAACUGAGGCUGUCAGUCCAACAACCCACAAGAACUGAAUCUGACCAACAAUCACAGGAACAAACUUAGAAGUAUACUCUUUCCCAGACAAACCUUCAGAUGAGACCACAGCCCCAGCCAUAAGCUUGAAAACAAUCUCAUGAGGGACCUUGAGCCACAGGCAUGUAGUAAAGCUAUGCCAGGAAUCCUGCCUGCCCCACAGAAAAUGUAAAAAAAAUAAAUUUUUAUUGUUUUAAGCCA